AGCAGCCGCGGUAAUUCCAGCUCCAAUAGCGUAUAUUAAAGUUGUUGCAGUUAAAAAGCUCGUAGUUGAAUUUCGGGAUCAAUUAAUUGGUCGUGCCUCUGGUACGUACUGAUUUUAUUGGUUUCUCCCUUCUGAAGAACCAUGAUGUCAUUAAUUUGGUGUCGUGGAGAAUCAGGACUGUUACUUUGAAAAAAUUAGAGUGUUUAAAGCAAGCUAACGCUUGAAUACAUUAGCAUGGAAUAAUGAAAUAGGACGUUUGAUCCUAUUUUGUUGGUUUCUAGGAUCGACGUAAUGAUUAAUAGGGAUAGUUGGGGGCAUUAGUAUUCAAUUGUCAGAGGUGAAAUUCUUGGAUUUAUUGAAGACUAACUACUGCGAAAGCAUUUGCCAAGGAUGUUUUCAUUAAUCAAGAACGAAAGUUAGGGGAUCGAAGACGAUCAGAUACCGUCAUAG
rnacentral:rRNA from 1 species